ACAUGCAAGUCGAACGAUGAACCAGGAGCUUGCUCUUGGGAAUUAGUGGCGAACGGGUGAGUAACACGUGAGUAACCUGCCCUUGACUCUGGGAUAACCUCCGGAAACGGAAGCUAAUACCGGAUACGAACUGCGGAGGCAUCUCCAGCAGUUGGAAAGAACUUCGGUCAAGGAUGGACUCGCGGCCUAUCAGGUAGUUGGUGAGGUAAUGGCUCACCAAGCCUACGACGGGUAGCCGGCCUGAGAGGGUGACCGGCCACACUGGGACUGAGACACGGCCCAGACUCCUACGGGAGGCAGCAGUGGGGAAUAUUGCACAAUGGGCGAAAGCCUGAUGCAGCAACGCCGCGUGAGGGAUGACGGCCUUCGGGUUGUAAACCUCUUUUAGUAGGGAAGAAGCGAAAGUGACGGUACCUGCAGAAAAAGCACCGGCUAACUACGUGCCAGCAGCCGCGGUAAUACGUAGGGUGCGAGCGUUGUCCGGAAUUAUUGGGCGUAAAGAGCUCGUAGGCGGUCUGUCGCGUCUGCUGUGAAAACCCGAGGCUCAACCUCGGGCCUGCAGUGGGUACGGGCAGACUAGAGUGCGGUAGGGGAGAAUGGAAUUCCUGGUGUAGCGGUGGAAUGCGCAGAUAUCAGGAGGAACACCGAUGGCGAAGGCAGUUCUCUGGGCCGUAACUGACGCUGAGGAGCGAAAGCGUGGGGAGCGAACAGGAUUAGAUACCCUGGUAGUCCACGCCGUAAACGUUGGGCGCUAGAUG
rnacentral:rRNA from 1 species